UACGAGGGGGGCGAGCGUUGUUCGGAAUUAUUGGGCGUAAAGCGUGCGCAGGCGGUGAUGUAAGACAGAUGUGAAAUCCCCGGGCUCAACCUGGGACCUGCAUUUGUGACUGCAUCGCUGGAGUGCGGCAGAGGGGGAUGGAAUUCCGCGUGUAGCAGUGAAAUGCGUAGAUAUGCGGAGGAACACCGAUGGCGAAGGCAAUCCCCUGGGCCUGCACUGACGCUCAUGCACGAAAGCGUGGGGAGCAAACAGG
rnacentral:rRNA from 1 species